rnacentral:rRNA from 1 species
UACGGGGGGUGCGAGCGUUGUCCGGAUUCACUGGGCGUAAAGGGCGCGUAGGCGGCUGGCUCAGUCGGGCCUGUAAGUGCGGGGCUCAACCCCGUGAUGGGCUCGGGACGGGCUGGCUGGGGCGCGGUCGAGGGAGACGGAAUGCCGGGUGUAGUGGUGAAAUGCGUAGAGAUCCGGCGGAACACCGGUGGUGAAGACGGUCUCCUGGGCCGAGGGCCGACGCUGAGGCGCGAGAGCGUGGGGAGCGAAC